rnacentral:lncRNA from 1 species
GUUCUUGAACAAGAAACAAACACGGCCAAGGCAAGUGUAAAUGACUUCAUUGACCGUUGAGGCAUUUGUGCUGUACAAAGGUGUUAUCAUGCAAAGACGUGUCAUUACUAUAAUUUGCUGCAACAAGCGAUAUACCAGUGGAACUUCAAAAUCCACAUGUCAUCAAGAAACAUCAGAUGUUUGUUUGAAUCCUCAAAACAGUACCCGACUCCGCAGUUUUAAAUUCUUCGAACAACGUGAACUACUUGACAAGCCUGGGUA